rfam:Salmo salar isolate Sally breed double haploid chromosome ssa20, whole genome shotgun sequence.
UGCAGCCUCGUAUGUAAGUCGCUCUGGAUAAGAGCGUCUGCUAAAUGACGUAAG